GCUCACAGUGCACCUUGAAGAAACCUUGGAGCAGGAAAAGUAAUUUCUGUUGCAGGUCACCGUACAUGACGUCAGAUACAUUAAAGAAUGCCUUCCUCAGGGAAAAGGGAAAUCCCGGCAAGGAACAUCAGGUCACUGUCAGGAUGCUCUACUAGGAAGCAAAACAGGGAUCGUCUGGAAGAGGUAUAGCAGACGAGCAAGUCAACUCAGCCAACUCACAAUGUGGUCCCUAACAAAGAAGCCAGAGGCGACAGCGGAACAAGAAACCUCUCUAAGACGACAUAAGGAAGAAAACAAAC